GUCAAGUUCAAACUCGUUGCAUGAUGUCAGACUUGCUGCACAAAAUCACAAGGAAGAAAACAUAGAAAGUUCUUCUGAACUGCAACCACGUAUGAACUGAAGUACUGAAGGAAACGAGAAACUAAUUCAGAAAAAUGAGCAGAGUAAAGACUGUGAGAAAUAGAGUACAGAGAAACUAACUGGAAUACCAGAGAAAAGUGUACGGAGCUCACCAGGAGAAACAGUAUGAAUGGAAUGAGACCCUGUCUCUCAUGAUGAUGCAGACAGACCUGUGAAGUGUCAUUCUGAUUUGUCAGAGAGGAUCAAAUAUGAGCGAUUACAGCACAUUAAAACCUCCUGGACCCGUCCUCUACAAUACUGAAGUGCAGAUAAUUG